GAUGAAGAACGCAGCGAAAUGCGAUAAGUAGUGUGAAUUGCAGACUUCAGUGAAUCAUCGAAUCUUUGAACGCACAUUGCGCCCCUUGGUAUCCCGAGGGGCAUGCCUGUUCGAGCGUCAUUUCACCACUCAAGCCUGGCUUGGUGUUGGGCGACGUCCCCUUUAGGGACGCGCCUCGAAACGCUCGGCGGCGUGGCACCGGCUUUAAGCGUAGCAGAAUCUUUCGCUUUGGAAGUCGGGGCCCCGCCUGCCGGAAUACCUACUCGUAAGGUUGACCUCGGAUCAGGCAGGGAUACCCGCUGAACUUAAGCAUAUCAAUAAGCGGAGGA
rnacentral:misc_RNA from 1 species